rnacentral:rRNA from 1 species
AACGAACGCUGGCGGCAUGCCUAACACAUGCAAGUCGAACGAACCCUUCGGGGUUAGUGGCGCACGGGUGCGUAACGCGUGGGAAUCUGCCCUUUGCUUCGGAAUAACAGUUAGAAAUGACUGCUAAUACCGGAUGAUGUCUUCGGACCAAAGAUUUAUCGGCAAGGGAUGAGCCCGCGUAGGAUUAGGUAGUUGGUGGGGUAAAGGCCUACCAAGCCGACGAUCCUUAGCUGGUCUGAGAGGAUGAUCAGCCACACUGGGACUGAGACACGGCCCAGACUCCUACGGGAGGCAGCAGUGGGGAAUAUUGGACAAUUGGCGCAAGCCUGAUCCAGCAAUGCCGCGUGAGUGAUGAAGGCCUUCGGGUCGUAAAGCUCUUUUACCAGGGAUGAUAAUGACAGUACCUGGAGAAUAAGCUCCGGCUAACUCCGUGCCAGCAGCCGCAGUAACAC